AGUUUGAUCCUGGCUCAGAACGAACGCUGGCGGCAUGCCUAACACAUGCAAGUCGAACGAUGCUUUCGGGCAUAGUGGCGCACGGGUGCGUAACGCGUGGGAAUCUGCCCUUUGGUCUGGGAUAACUGUUGGAAACGACAGCUAAUACCGGAUGAUGACGUAAGUCCAAAGAUUUAUCGCCAGAGGAUGAGCCCGCGUCGGAUUAGCUAGUUGGUGGGGUAAAGGCCUACCAAGGCGACGAUCCGUAGCUGGUCUGAGAGGAUGAUCAGCCACACUGGGACUGAGACACGGCCCAGACUCCUACGGGAGGCAGCAGUGGGGAAUAUUGGACAAUGGGCGAAAGCCUGAUCCAGCAAUGCCGCGUGAGUGAUGAAGGCCUUAGGGUUGUAAAGCUCUUUUACCCGGGAUGAUAAUGACAGUACCGGGAGAAUAAGCUCCGGCUAACUCCGUGCCAGCAGCCGCGGUAA
rnacentral:rRNA from 1 species